rnacentral:rRNA from 1 species
CAGUAGCCGCGGGAAUACGUAGGGUGCGAGCGUUAAUCGGAAUUACUGGGCGUAAAGCGUGCGCAGGCGGUUUUGUAAGACAGGCGUGAAAUCCCCGGGCUCAACCUGGGAAUGGCGCUUGUGACUGCAAAGCUAGAGUGCGGCAGAGGGGGAUGGAAUUCCGCGUGUAGCAGUGAAAUGCGUAGAUACGCGGAGGAACACCGAUGGCGAAGGCAAUCCCCUGGGCCUGCACUGACGCUCAUGCACGAAAGCGUGGGGAGCAAACAGGAUUAGAUACCCCUGUAGUCCCUGUCUCUUAUAC